GACAGAGGGGGCAAGCGUUGCUCGGAAUUACUGGGCGUAAAGGGCGCGUAGGCGGGAUGGCAAGUCGGUCGUGAAAUCCCUCGGCUCAACUGAGGAUCGCCGAUCGAUACUGCCGUUCUUGAGGAUUGCAGAGGAGACUGGAAUUCCCGGUGUAGCGGUGAAAUGUGUAGAGAUCGGGAGGAACACCGGUGGCGAAGGCGGGUCUCUGGGCAAUUCCUGACGCUGAGGCGCGAAAGCGUGGGGAGCAAACGGG
rnacentral:rRNA from 1 species